UAUAUGUCUCGCAUCUGACGGUC
rnacentral:miRNA from 1 species